rnacentral:rRNA from 1 species
AACGAACGCUGGCGGCAGGCCUAACACAUGCAAGUCGAGCGGGACCUUCGGGUCUAGCGGCGGACGGGUUAGUAACGCGUGGGAACGUGCCCAAAGGUACGGAAUAGCCUCGGGAAACUGAGAGUAAUACCGUAUGUGCCCCUCGGGGGAAAGAUUUAUCGCCUUUGGAUCGGCCCGCGUUGGAUUAGGUAGUUGGUGGGGUAAUGGCCUACCAAGCCGACGAUCCAUAGUUGGUCUGAGAGGACGACCAGCCACACUGGGACUGAGACACGGCCCAGACUCCUACGGGAGGCAGCAGUGGGGAAUUUUGGACAAUGGGCGCAAGCCUGAUCCAGCAAUGCCGCGUGCAGGAAGAAGGCCUUCGGGUUGUAACUGCUUUUGUCAGGGAGAAAUCUUCUGGGCUAAUACCCCGGGAGGACUGACGGUACCUGAAGAAUAAGCACCGGCUAACUACGUG